rnacentral:rRNA from 1 species
GACAGAGGGGGCAAGCGUUGCUCGGAAUUACUGGGCGUAAAGCGUGCGCAGGCGGUGAUGUAAGACAGGUGUGAAAUCCCCGGGCUUAACCUGGGAACUGCAUUUGUGACUGCAUCGCUGGAGUGCGGCAGAGGGGGAUGGAAUUCCGCGUGUAGCAGUGAAAUGCGUAGAUAUGCGGAGGAACACCGAUGGCGAAGGCAAUCCCCUGGGCCUGCACUGACGCUCAUGCACGAAAGCGUGGGGAGCAAACAGG